UACGAGGGGGGCAAGCGUUGUUCGGAAUUAUUGGGCGUAAAGGGCGCGUAGGCGGUGCGGUAAGUCUGAUGUGAAAUCUCCGGGCUCAACUCGGAGUCUGCAUCAGAAACUGCCGUGCUCGAGUGUGGGGAGAGGUGAGUGGAAUUCCCGGUGUAGCGGUGAAAUGCGUAGAUAUCGGGAAGGAACACCUGUGGCGAAAAGCGGCUCACUGGACCACAACUGACGCUGAGGCGCGAAAGCUAGGGGAGCAAACA
rnacentral:rRNA from 1 species